rnacentral:tRNA from 1 species
GGGGUUGUAGCUCAAUGGUAGAGCACUUGCCUAACAAGCAUGAGGUACUAGGUUCAAUCUCA